UCUCAGAUGGUCCAGUGGUCAAGAUUUCCGCCUGUCAAACUACAAUGUGGUUGAUCGCGGACGACCGGGGUUCGAUUCCCCGUCUGAGAG
rnacentral:tRNA from 1 species